rnacentral:rRNA from 1 species
UACGGAGGGGGCGAGCGUUGUCCGAAGUUACUGGGCGUAAAGCGCGUGUAGGCGGGUUGUCAAGUCCGCUGUGAAAUCUCGAGGCUCAACUUCGAGCUGUCGGUGGAAACUAUCUGGCUAGAGUCCGGAAGAGGAGAAUGGAAUUCCUGGUGUAGCGGUGAAAUGCGCAGAUAUCAGGAAGAACACCCGUGGCGAAGGCGGUUCUCUGGGACGGUACUGACGCUGAGACGCGAAAGCGUGGGGAGCGAACAGG